rfam:Nomascus leucogenys chromosome 21, whole genome shotgun sequence.
AAAAAGACUUUCUUAAAAGUCACCGCUCAUUUAUGAUUAAAAACUCU